UUUCUUAGUCUCAGUCUCUCAGAUGGCAAGUGAUGCUAAAAUUAACAAGUGGCUUUUUGGAAAAGAUCAAUUCCAGAUGUCACAUAAAGAUGUAGCCAAGUGUGUGACUUUAGAAUCUCAGGAAACUUAUUGGGUGCCUCAGAAAGCCCUUCUAACAGUCUCAAAAACAUUCCUUGUAGAUCCUAUUCAUUAAACAAUAGUGUUUCUUAAUGUUUUAAAUGUAUCUUCAUAUAGCUGCCUUAUAGGUGAAUAAGGCUUAUGUCAAUGAGAUCCACAGGUGUGGAUUUUGUCCAAAUGGAGUGACUCCAACAAGAUAAGAUGUCCAUAAAUUCUUGGAUAUUCCUUUCACAAAGUGGUGGAGUCUAAUCCCUUUUUUAAAAAAUAUAGACUGAUUCUAGUGACUUGCUUCUAGAAAAUAUUGAAUGAAGCUAAACUGACAUUAUGUGACUUCCAAGACUAAGUCAGAAGAGGUAAAAAAAAGCUUCUGUCUGGCUGCUCUCUCUUGAGACAUCUACCUUGAAGUGUAGCCAGGUUGCAGAGACCUUGUGAAGAAAUCAUGUAAAGAUAGGGAGAUAAGUCUAAGAAGGUUCAGAGGAUAAGUCCAGGCACCAGACAUGUGAAUGUGAAGAAGUUUUCAAGAAGACCCCAGCCUCAGGCACUGACUGACCCCAACUUCAUAGGAGAACCUAAACUGGAAUUUCUUAGCUAAGAAAUUUCUACAUUCCUAAAACCAUAAGAGAUAAUAAAUGAUUUUUGUUAUUUCAAGCCCUAACUCUUAUGAUUAUUUGUCAUGCAGCAAUAGAUAAUUAAUUCAAGUAAUUAGCUCACUUGGUUAUUGGAAGGAUUAAAUCAGAUUAUGCAAGGAAAGGGCUUAGUAUAAUGCCUGAAACAUAAUCAGCACUAAUAAAUACUAAAUAAUACUAGGCGCUAAUACUGGAUGAGGUUCUCAGCAAAACUGAGAAGGAAAUAGGGCUGAGGAUCCAGUAAAUCUGAAAGCAAGGGAGACUAUAUAACUUGGCAGAGGUUUGCUCAAAUUCUAAUAACAGCCUGCCUAUAGUGGGGAAAUGGUACAGGUGAGUGACUGGGAGUCAGGUCCACUUAUAGGAGCUUAUGAGAUAUUUCAGGAUUCCAAUAGGUCACUUACCACAGACUUGUCCUUGUUUGGUAGAAAAGCAAAUUAAACCGGUUUUGAAGGAAGAAAGUUUUUGUCAUUUUCAUUCUUUUUGUACUUCCUGCCUAUGGGAGAAAUGAUCAAAGCUGAUUUAAAGAUGUUUGUAUGAAUAGAGUAGCAGAUUAGGUUCUGAAUAACCCAUAUUCUUAGGGAACUGUUACUCUUAACUUUUGGCUCUGAUAGCAUCCAGUGAACACAUCUUAUAAAGUCUCAUGUGAAAAUGGAUGGAGCCAGAAGAAAGAUGCUGUGUUGAUUUUUUAAAAAGUGUAAAAUACAAGACUAAAAUUUUAAUAAGGUCAAUAGAUAAAUAUUACUUUUAUUUUGGUUUUUUUGUCUUUUUUUUUUUUUUUUUUUGGCUGCACCCAUGGCUUAUGGAGGUUCCCAGGCUAGGGACUGAAUCAGAGCUGCAGCUGCCAGCCUACACCACAGCCACAGCAAUGAGGGAUCCAAGCCGUGUCUGCAACCUACACUACAGCUUGUGGCAAUGCUGGAUCCUUAACCCACUGAACAAGGCCAGGGAUUGAGCCUGCAUCCUCAUGGAUGCUAGUCAGGUUCACUAACUGCUGAGCCACAAUGUGAACUCCAUAAAUAUUACUUUAAUUUCAGGUUCCUUUAGUAAGGAAAAAAAGUGAGAAGGGGGGAAAAUAUACUAUAGGAAGUCAAAAAAGAGCAAAAUCACAUUCACACAAAAAGCUCAAAGGAGACAACUAAACUUUGUUCUAAAUAAAACAUGGAAUCCUCACAGGCAAGCACAUUAGAAAAGACCACUGAUCAAUUAACUAGGACCAAACACCAGAGCAAGUACAUGAGUUCCCUAGGUAUAUCUGAAUUUCAAAAAUAAAAAGAUAUUCUCAAGUUGAACUAUAAUUCAAAGUUAUUUUUGAAGUUUUCAUACUCGGAUAAUAUCCCACUAUGAUUGAUAAGAUGAAACAAUGCUUUGAAACGCAUAUUCUUCUCGUCUUUGAAACAUACUUUGGUAGUGCAUUGCUGGAAAGAUGCAAUUGAAAAUCAUGGAAUUGGUGAAGAGAUGAGUCACCAUUUGAUGUCAUUUUGUUAGCCUGUGAAGCAGAUCACAUUUAGCUCUGUAGGGAUCAAUUUUUUUCUUCCCAUAUCUGCCUUGCCUUUUAGCCUGAUCUUCUAAGUGUGCUAGAUAGUGCAUUUUAAACAUUUUUGUACACAUUAUUCAUAAUAAUAAUCACAUUCUACCUUGAGACUCAGAAUGGAUGCACAUUCACAUAUACAUAUAACUAAAAAUAAAGUUUUAUGCUGGCUCUGACUCAGUAAAAGAAUUUUGUAACCUAUUAGUGGAUAGUUGAUCAACACUUUAGAUACCACUACAUGAAGGGUAUUGCCUAGUCCUUUCGAAGUUAACUUUGUUGCCUCCUCUAUGAAUUGUUCAACUUCAGUCAAUAAAUCCAUCUGAUUUGAGGUGUUAUCUGUCUAGAGAUUUGUGUGGAUUUCUAUUUAUUUGUUCAAUAAUCUUUACUGGGUCAAAUAUGACUUCCAUAUCAUAUAUUCCAGGCAUAUAGGAAUGGAGGGUAUAAUAGAAAACAAAAUAAACUCGGUGUUACUUUCAAGGAGUUUAAGGUUAAAAAAUAGAAAUUUUAAAAAUAACAUCAUGAAUAUUGUCAAAAAUUACAAUUGCUAUAAAGAUAACCUGUAAUAUUCAAUGAUAAAGAAAAAUAAAUAGGAUUUUCUGUAAAGAUGGUAUCUCAACAAGAUCCCACACUAGACUAUUAGUUGCCUCUCAAUAAUUGGUCUCCUUCUUUUCCAUUUUAAUGUGGUCUUAACUAGGGCCAUGUUUCCCCAGCUAAAUAUUCUAUUUAUCAGCUUUCUUGGUAGCUAAAUAUAACCAAGUGACUAAAUUCUAGUCACUAGGCUGUGAGCAGAAGCAAUGUGUACCAUUUCUAGGUAUUGUUCUAUUAUUAUACUAUUACUAUUGUUGUUGCUGUAAGAACACAACCUGAGAUCUACUCUCUUAAAAUUUUAAGUGUGCAAUAAAAUCCAAAUGAACAUGCACUCCCUUCAUCCUUUUCCCCUGCCAAUUAUUUGGAAGAUGGCACACUCUAGGAGUUAGACUCAGAAAUCAAAGUCAUGGGUGAAAAUUGCUGAGUUGCUUACCAAACCUCUCACAUGAAAAAUAAACAAACUUGCAUAUUAUUAAGCCGUGGUAUUUGAGACUCACUUUGUUCUGUCCCCAAAAUAAAACAGUGCCAGAACUUAAAGAUAAUAGGAAUUAGCCAUUUGAAGAGUGGGGUUUUUAGGCAGUGGUUGAGGGAGCAAGGGUGUUCAAGGCAGAGGAAACAGUAUGUUCAAAGCCCCCAAGAAAGGGAAGAUUUUCUAGUGUUCCAGAGAAGAGAGAAGGCUGAUAUGCCUGGAGUGUAGUGGAUGAGUGAAUAAUGGAAUAAGAUGAUACUGAAUCAGAUAAAUGAAAACAAAGCUGACCACAAUAGUGUUUAGAAUAGGUGUGAUAACAAUUUUAUCAAGGUGAAUUGAGAGAACUCCAUGAUGCUGUGUAUUAAAUAUCCUGAACAGUUCCUGGUAUAUAUUAGGUGCUUGAUUUUUAUUAGUUCUUUCUCCCCCCUUUCUUUGGUGUACUCUGAAUCUCCAAACAAUCCUCUUUAGUGACAUAGCAGGGAAUUUCUAUAGCAGUUCAAACUUUGUCUAAGGACCUGUUUAUCUUUUGCACUGAUUAAAUGACUAUCUUCCAAAACCACAUGGGACAGAUAUAUGUAUUUGUCCCAGAUGAAGGUUAGUAUUUUGCCUAAUUUUACAUAAGAACAGACCCAUAGAGAAGUUGUGAAUUUUUUUAGGAAGUCACAUCAUUGCUUCAUUGACUAUUUAGGACAAUUAAUGUCAAUGUUCAUUUUUGUCUUUAUCAUAAAGUAUAAUUAAUUCUAUCCCCAGUCAGCUCAAACCACAAACAUAAUCUAAUUUACUUUCACUUUCAUAGCUUAUUUUAGCUGUCUUUUACGCUAAACUUGUCAGUAAAUCAACUUUAAUAUUUAAUAUUUUGCUUUAAUACCUGCAAGCAAAAUGUUCUGCUUUUAUUUUAAUGUCAGUAUGUCCAGCUUGUAUAAGUCUUUUAAAUGAUUUGCAGCCCAUCCUGCUGACAUGCAGGGAUUUAAAAAUUUAAUAAUAAUAAAACAAAAUCUAUUUUCAUUGAUAAAAAUUCCAGCUGUUUUCUCAAAAACUAUCAAAUGUAAUGAAAGGGGUAUGAAGGAUUUAAACACAAAGAUUGCCUAAUUAGCUAGAAAUAUUUGAAAAUAUACCACCAGGUUUAUAGACAUGAGGCAAAACGGGCAAAAUUUCAUCCUUCAACUAGGAUGAAAUUCUAGGAGCCCUGUAAUUUACCUUCUAUUAUUUUAGCCAGGGUUGUAAGAGAACUAACUGCAGGGCUCUAAUUUAUCAGCAUUGUAGAAAGAUGUUUUCACAUUUUCUUUUAACGUACUAAUGAAAAUCUAUAGCAAACCCAUUUAGAUAUACUAAUAAAUUCCUUAAGGGCAUGACAAAAUAAAAAUAAUUUAGGCAAUUUGGAUGGAACUUGAUCCUAAAGUUUAAAUAAUGACCAUUAUUCCACUAAACUUAAAGAAAAAACAACACAACCCCACACUUCUUUCUGACAAACUGCUCAACUGAGCCAUCCACUCUAAAGGUCUAACACAGCUCAUAAACUCUAUGAAUAGACACAGUAGGAAAAAGCAGGGUAUAGAAUUUUAGAUGACUGGACCCUUGAUUAAGCCUCAAAUUUAACCUUGUCACC
rnacentral:lncRNA from 1 species